AUUGAACGCUGGCGGAAUGCUUUACACAUGCAAGUCGAACGGUAGAGGGGGCGAACCCCUCCGAGAGUGGCGAACGGGUGAGUAAUAUAUCGGAACGUGCCCACGUCGUGGGGGAGUAACGUAGCGAAAGUUAACGCUAAUACCGCAUACGAUCUACGGAUGAAAGCGGGGGAGUCGCAAGACCUCGCGCGAUUGGAGCGGCCGAUAUCAGAUUAGGUAGUUGGUGGGGUAAAGGCUCACCAAGCCAACGAUCUGUAGCUGGUCUGAGAGGACGACCAGCCACACUGGAACUGAGACACGGUCCAGACUCCUACGGGAGGCAGCAGUGGGGAAUUUUGGACAAUGGACGCAAGUCUGAUCCAGCCAUUCCGCCGUG
rnacentral:rRNA from 1 species